rnacentral:rRNA from 1 species
UGGGGGAUAUUGCACAAUGGGCGAAAGCCUGAUGCAGCGACGCCGCGUGGGGGAUGAAGGCUUUCGGGUCGUAAACCUCUUUCGCUAUCGAACAAGGCCCGCUUAGGGUGGGUUGAGGGUAGGUGGAGAAGAAGCGCCGGCUAACUACGUGCCAGCAGCCGCGGUAAUACGUAGGGCGCGAGCGUUGUCCGGAAUUAUUGGGCGUAAAGGGCUUGUAGGCGGCUUGUUGCGCCUGCUGUGAAAACGCGGGGCUUAACUUCGCGCGUGCAGUGGGUACGGGCAGGCUUGAGUGUGGUAGGGGUGACUGGAAUUCCAGGUGUAGCGGUGGAAUGCGCAGAUAUCUGGAGGAACACCGAUGGCGAAGGCAGGUCACUGGGCCAUUACUGACGCUGAGGAGCGAAAGCAUGGGUAGCGAACAGG